AAAUUUUCAACGGUGGAUAUCUUGGUUUUCGCAACGAUGAAGAACGCAGCGAAGUGCGAUAAGCAGUGCGAAUUGCAGAACCGUGAGUCAUCAGAUCUUUGAACGCAACUGGCGCCUGCUGGCUCUCCGGCAGGCAUGCUUGUUUCAGUGUCUCAUUUUCCACUCAACCAGAUCUUAAU
rnacentral:rRNA from 1 species